GAUAGAGAGAGAGGGGAGGGGAAAGAGGAGUGGGAGCAGGGAGAGAUGGUCGUAGGAGAGAGGCCAUUCAAUGAACGAUGGGAGGGAGGUGAGGAGUUGUAGAGGUAGAUGUCCAAUCAAGGCAGAUAACGUGACAUGUAGAGGGAGAAAUCACAUGUUGAAGAGGUGUGAGAGUGUGGGAGGAAGUAAGAAUAGUGAGAUAAAGAUGGGGAGAGGACAAAGGAGGAAAAUCACCAGAGAAGGGAUGUGGUCCAAUUGUGUGGAAGUGGGAAAACAUCAAACAUUGACAAAUACAAAGAACCGGUUGGAAUGAGUACAUGUAAAAGCAAUGGCAGAAGCAAAGGAAGGAGGAAUCAGAAAUAAAAGACAAGUGAUACGGGGAUGGAAGAACCACACAGACAGAAAGAGAGAGGAGAGAGAGACAGAGAGAGCCAAAUGAGUUACGAAGUUGAUGCAUGACGAACACCAAUAGAAAUGGCAGCACAGGAAAAGGGACACAGGGAAAGAGGGGAUGAAGGGGGAAUUAAAAUUCUUGAGGUCAAAGGGUCGUGAUCCUCUUUGGAUGAGUAGCAAGGAGUGUUUAUCAGGUGUCAGGAAAAGUGUCAUUCUUUGCCAAUGAGUACAAAUCACGUCCAAUAAGUUUCUAUGUAAAUGUGCGAGCAGCGGAAAGUAUUUUAACUUAAAGACUCUAGAAGAACUCUACACUUAUGGCUUCUUUAAACAUCUUAACAGCACAUACUGUAGCAUCAGCCUGCUACUAAAGACAUGCAAAAAGCCACAAGGAGCUCAGCACCAAAUUUAAAAAGCAAGAUAAAGGUGCACCCUAUAGCCUGGCAGGAAAUCCAAACCUGUUCAAUUCACCGACCAAAACGUCUAACCCAAACCCACUGAGCACAUAUAGCAAUGAGCUGCUGCAUGGGCAUUCAUCCUGGGUUGGAGCUUUUGAUCAGUGAUUAAGUCAAAGUUUGGUUUUGCCAUCUUUUCUUACCUACAUUGGCGCCGAAUAACAGCAAUGCAAGACUAGUUAUAUUAUUAGUUUAUGUCAAAGCCUUCACUCCCAGUCUUGUUCACUGACGUCUGUGUGGGAGCAGUGGGAAGAGAAAACAAUUGGGUUAUUGUGCCAAUAGACAACUAUUGGAGGACUCUAUUCAUAAUGGUGCUUAAUGCAUCCAAAAGCUGCUGCAAGAUGAUUUGAAUAUAGAAGCAUUUUGAAAGCUGAAAAAUCACAGUUUUACCAUCAGACCUCUAGAACCUCUUGAAAUAAUUGCAUUUGAUUUAUCUUGCCGUGUGGUGUUUAGACAUAAUUACAGAGACUCACUGGAAAUGUAUGACGAGUGCAGAGCCGUUUAAAAGAGCUUGGAAAUAUGUGCAUACUAAUUUAAUUCAGGUUUAUCAAACUUUGGAAAAAUAUAUGCAUGACAUUAGAUACCACUUUAAUGCAAGAAGUAUGAAAUACUGUCACAUGGAUGGAAUGACGUGCUGUAGAGGGGAGAGACAGGAAGUAGGAGGGAUAGUUUGGUCUGCAUCCAGUAGAGAAAAUGAAUCAAAAGGAUUGAAAUUAUCACUGGAUAAACUGUCUGAUGAGUGUGUCCAUUGUGAGUGGAAGGUGUUUCCAUUUCACUUAAAAAAAGAAAAAAGAAAAAGUGAAAAGAAGAACGAAAACCCCAAAAUUGGAUGUGAAUUAGCGGGCCUUUUCUCUUCUCAAUCAGAACCAAAAUGAAUGAAAACAUUUUCAGCUGCUAACUGGUGCUAUGAACAGCUACAGUGGACAUUUACAGGAUGCCAGUAACACGACUCCACUAACACUUGUUUCGUUACUCUCAAACACGACCGACAGUGUCGUUUAAUGUCCAUGUGUAGACCAAUACACAUGUCUAUUAAACUCAGGAAAUCAAGCAGCCGAACAAAGACAUGGCAAAAAUGUUUACUGACAUCCUUUUUUAAAAACUUACCAAGCUUGCUUCACUCUCUGUGGGCUGUGGUGUUUGAUUACUUGGUGCAUUCAAUUACAGCUUGGUGUGAGAGUGUUUUUUAUGCUAAUGAAAAUUGUGGGGUACUGGAGACAGAAACACAAAACACUUAGUGGAGAACUGAAAUGUUAGGUGUAUAGUAAUGAUGCAGAUAUCGCACACACAGGCUCUUACCCAUCUCCUCCAAUCUCCAAUCAAUUUGAAUCGUGGAUGUCUAUAGAGCAAACUGUAAAAUCGUUCUCACAGUGUUGGUUUAAUCAACUUAUAUAUGGUUAAAUUAAAGGAACCCCCUGUAUGGCUUAAGAGGACUAUAGCUUGCCAGGUGAAAGAGCUCUAACUCGGACGCAAAACACAUUUCACACAUCCUCAGACGCACCAUAAACAACGUGGCCACCAUUCAACCAAAUAAUGUGCCCAGGUGCCAAAAACGCAAACACAUAAAUAUCAGAAACAAAGACUCACUGAAAGACACAGAAAAUACACACACACACACAAAAAAAAACAUGUGCACAUUAAUCAGUGUUCUUCAGGGAAGGAUUGGGUCAGAUACGGAGAUUUCCCAUAAUUCCCAUUGUUUAUCUGAGGGCGUGCUGGGAGGGAUGGAGAGUGGAAAUGUGAAGUUCAUGUGUAGGAAACCAAAGCGGGACAAAAAUAUGUUUGUGUGUGCGAGGGAGAAAAAAAGAAGAUCUAUAUUAAAGGAGAAUUCACACAAUGUUUCAGAGACUUUGGGACAGAUUUAUCACCAAGAACGGUAAUCACUCUGGACACAAGUCUAUGAAAUCAUAAAACAUGUGAUUGUGUGUAUUCUCUUUAAAUUCAGAUUUUUUUUUACGUAGCUGCUUGGCAGAAAGUAACAAUUCUUCAUUAAAAAUUAAGUAACUAAAGCCUAUUGUCAUUGGGCUAUUGUAGGAACCAGAGGGAAUCGACAUCCUGUUUGUACAUAAAACAGUAAUACUGUAUGUUUUUCACUCAAUGGUUGAUUAUCGUUUAUUAAGAUAAUGUUUAGUAUAUUUAAAGUUAACCCAGGCCAAGUGAAAAAAAAUGAGGUGACUAUUAAAUGUGAUGAAAAUCUGAGUUGAACUUUUGCAAAUGCCAUCAUCUGAAAAUAUCGGAGCUUAAGAAUCAAUGGUAUUCAUUGAUUAUUUUGUAUUUCUCUGCAUUUCAACGAUUUACCCAAUGCAAAGAGUUACAGGAAGGUCUCCGUAUAUGACGUGAACAUCAUUUGAGAUAAUAUAUAUUUCUGUGCGGUUGUUGGUGUAAAUCAUUAAAAUGCAGAGGAAUACA